rnacentral:rRNA from 1 species
AAUCAACGCUGGCGGCGUGCCUAACACAUGCAAGUCGCACGAGAAAGGGGAGCAAUCCCUGAGUAAAGUGGCGCACGGGUGAGUAACACGUGAAUUAUCUACCUCCGAGUGGGGAAUAACUGAGAGAAAUCUUAGCUAAUACCGCAUAACACUUACGAGUCAAAGCAGCAAUGCGCUUGGAGAGGAGUUCGCGGCAGAUUAGUUAGUUGGCGGGGUAAUGGCCCACCAAGACGAUGAUCUGUAUCCGGCCUGAGAGGGCGCACGGACACACUGGAACUAAAACACGGUCCAGACUCCUACGGGAGGCAGCAGUGGGGAAUUUUGCGCAAGUGGGGAAACCCUGACGCAGCAACGCCGCGUGGAGGAUGAAAUAUCUUGGUAUGUAAACUCC